AUGGCCAUCCUAGGAAAUUCAUUGCACGGAUUUGCCUGGCCUACCCUGCAGAGACAGUUCAACUCAUAGCACUGAGUUGAACUGUCUAUAUAUAUGUUUCACAUCUUUGAAAUUGAAGUUUGUAGAGCAAAUCUAACAAAGGGAAAUUAACAAGGCCAUUCCUGCCCAAUCAGUUAAUUUAAUAUAAUGUCUUGCUCCUAAUCCUAUUUUUUGUAAGCUUCAUGCAAACAGAAUUUACUUGUUUUCUGAAGGGGAUCUGGAUAAGAAGCUGGUAGCUGAGUAUCCAACAAGUUACUUUUCUGCAUUUGAACAACUCAGCUGGAGAAAUGUGAGGAGCAUGCUGGAAAAAAGAAGGACUGUCCUUUAGUGUCUGUUAAGAAUUCACUGUCUUUGUACUGUAAAGAAGUACAAUCUAUACAAUAUCACAUUCCUAGAUUGUGGAUUAAUGAAAUUCCGAAACCACCUACAUAUGAUAAUACCUCUUGGGUAAUCUUACAUAUGUUAAAAUUAUUACAGACAUUUUCCUGUCACCACAAUUACAAUUUUUUUGUGUGUCAGGGUGGGGAGAAAGAAAGGGAAAAAUUGAUAAAAUAAAAGUUAGUCUUCGACAUGUGGCAAGCCCAUCAGAUACGUGAUAAAUCUUUUUCAUAGCUGCAUUCCACAAGGUGAGAGAGCCUGCUCUCCUUCACCAUGGUCUGGCCUUCAGUACUUCAGUGUAUAAUUGAACUUUGCCUCAGAAGGAAGUUCCAGAGGCCCCCAGUGGGCAGUUUGUUUCUUGCUGAGCACAUUUUAAGGUUGUGUUUUGAGUUGUUUGUCUUUCCCCUCCUUGAAUGCCAUGCAGUUUACUAGAGUAGAGUUGCUUUUAUGUUUCCUUUCUCUUUCAUGUCCAUUUCUGGCUGAUUCUUCAAUAUUGUGGCCAUUGGCAUGAGUCCUAAUGCUUGGGUAACUGGGCAAGCAAUUAGUUGAACCAGACAGAUCUUCCUUCUUCAGCAAGUCUUUCCUGGCUUCUCCAAACACAGCUGGCCAAAGAUGAUGAGAAGAAACCAGACACCAGAUUGUUUCCAUGAUCCCAUUAGACAUUCUUCUGUAGUGAUUCCAAUGGGUUUAUUGAACUACUGGUGACAGCCACGCUGAUGAACUACAGGCUGCUUGCUGCUAAAUUCGGCCAAUGAAUCAAACACCUUCCAUUUUCCCACGAACCCAGAACAAAUCUAACGAUUCUGAUCAAUGGACAUAUUUCCAGACGUUCACCCUAGAAGUCAUACCAUGUAGUUGUGUGUUCCCUAGCCCCUCGACACCACGAGUGCAUUGUGAUUUUGGAAAUUAUUUGCCAGCUACGCAACUGAAAAGACACAAUUUUAACCUGAUCAACUGACAUAACAUCAAAUCUGUUCCAAAGCACUGAAACAAGAAAUCUAUACCAUCCCGCUACAGACAUACUUAGAAAACUUAAAAGGAAGAGUAAAUAUCAGCUCAGUGAUUUAUAAUGAAGCUAAUAAAAUUCAGGCCAGUAUUCUUAACUGUAAUGAACAUUAUUUGAACAUUCAACACAUGAAAGGUUAACAAAGGCUAUGAACUUGGUGUAACUUAAAACGUUUCAGAUGUCGGAGUUCACCAGAUGUAAUUGGAUUCAGAGUGAAAGACCACAGCCACCACAAAAAGCCACCUGAAUGAAGAGAUGUUACAGGUUCAAGAUCUCUCCUAAAAAAGAAACCCAUUUUAGGAACUCCAUCAAAUCUGGCUUCCAUCGAAGCUCUGACUCAGUAUAGAUUUUGGCCAUGCAGAAACUCUUGAUGCAAAGUUUGGAUGGAUGUGCUCGAAUGAAGGAUUUUCUCCACCCAAGGUCUGGUAAGGAUGUGGCACCGAGGUCCCCAAAGCAGGGAUGCACCUGCAUAGGAUUUGAUCAUUUUCACUGAGUUGCAAAACCAGCCUCGAUUGUAUUGAUCCAGAACAGGCCCCACUCUUCAUAUCGAUCACACAAUCAAGUGUGGCUAUUGCAUUUAUACAAAAUGGGAAUUUUGUAAGAAGUAAGGACUUCCACGAUACAUUUUAGAGAAGGGUUAUGGUUUGAGUGGGUUCCUUAUCAGUGGGGAUUUGUCAGUUUCAGUCAUGGCCAGCAUCUAUCUAUUUGCAGCUUAGUUUAAGUGGACGGUAGCACUAAUUUCCAUAGCUUCAGACCUCCCUUUCUCCUACUUGUGAACUUCUGGAGGUGCUUGGGGCACUGACUCAUUUCUACUGAUUUCCUAAAACGGAUCCAAGAUGGCAAUCACAUUUAAAAAAUCUGCCUCCAUCUUCCUGUACAUUAAGAGUCGAGUUUGGCAUUCCAUUUGUUCCCUGUGGUUUUUUAAUGCAAGCAUGCCAUUAAGUAACUACUGAGAACAGAAUACUUUGUUCCUGAACGUGUUUCUUUGAAUUGUCAGUAUGUAGGCUAGUAGCUCAAGGAACAGCCAGAACAUGAGCCAACAAUGCGCUUGAGUAAAUCCCUACCCUGCUGUUCUCCCCGCCACCCAUGAAGCCUGAACCUCCCUGCUGGCAAGGGUGAGCCUCAGCCGGGAAGUCUGUCUCCAAUGUCCUCCUCCCCAGUAACAUGUCUGGGUGCCCGAGACCUCCCAGAGUGUCACCUCGCUGGGAGUCUGUUCUCAGCAGAACUCCGUGCCUCAGCGCUUCCUCGUCACCUCCUCCUGGUCAAAAUAAACCUCUUUCUGAUUCUCUAAGCUAAUGUACAAAAUGGUUGGGUGGCCUCUGUUGGACAACACAUUUGCAUUUUAAUCAGGCACCGGGGUAUAUUCUUGAGGCAACGCCUUGAUCUGAGGAAGGUACAUUGAUGACAAAACUCUCAGCAGCAGGUCGAGAAGUGCCGGUGGGUGGGGGCUGGUGGACCUGUCCGAAUUGCUUAUCGAUGCCACCCAAGGGCCCCUGACUUGCCUUCUUUUUGGAGGCGUGACUGCUGUACUCUCAGCCAUCACUCUUGGUCACCAGGUCCCAAAUAUGGGUCCCUGAAGAUCUCUGUAACUGACUCCUGGGAUGAAUAGUGUGACCUCAGGCCAUUCCUAGGUCCGAGGAUGUCUCAAAAGUUACUUGUAUCCUGAGUUAAGGGUGGCAUAAGGAUUUGGUUUAUUCUCUCCCAAAGUGUCUCUAGAAAUGGUUAGUUUUCCACAGGUCUUUUAGCCCCCCAAAAGCUUCCCCCAAGUGUGUCCCUGCAGGGAUACCAUUCAGCCAUUACUAUCUGGGGAAAGAAUUAUUUUCCAGAGGAGCUUAACUUGUUAAGCUACACCCACCUGAAGCCAAUUCAAUCUACCAUCUAGUCAAUUUAGCGCCUGACAAGACUCCAGUCAAUGGCUGAGUGUAGCCUAGGCCAGACACCAACCAGCCUUAAAACUAACAAAUAAAAAGUCACGCAUACCUACAUAUAAAUACAUUAGGUAUACAUCAUAAUAAUAUAAUGUGAACAUUACAAAAUACGCACAAAAAUUAGAGAUUUGGGAUCG